CCUACGGGUGGCAGCAGUGAGGAAUAUUGGUCAAUGGACGAGAGUCUGAACCAGCCAAGUAGCGUGAAGGAUGACUGCCCUAUGGGUUGUAAACUUCUUUUAUAUGGGAAUAAAACGUUCCACGUGUGGGAUUUUGUAUGUACCAUAUGAAUAAGGAUCGGCUAACUCCGUGCCAGCAGCCGCGGUAAUACGGAGGAUCCGAGCGUUAUCCGGAUUUAUUGGGUUUAAAGGGAGCGUAGGUGGAUUGUUAAGUCAGUUGUGAAAGUUUGCGGCUCAACCGUAAAAUUGCAGUUGAAACUGGCAGUCUUGAGGACAGUAGAGGUGGGCGGAAGUCGUGGUGUAGCGGUGAAAUGCUUAGAUAUCACGAAGAACUCCGAUUGCGAAGGCAGUUCACUGGACUGCAACUGACACUGAGGCUCGAAAGUGUGGGUAUCAAACAGGAUUAGAUACCCCUGUAGUC
rnacentral:rRNA from 1 species